rnacentral:rRNA from 1 species
GGGUGAUCUGCCCUGCACUUCGGGAUAAGCCUGGGAAACUGGGUCUAAUACCGGAUAUGACCUCCUAUCGCAUGGUGGGUGGUGGAAAGAUUUAUCGGUGCAGGAUGGGCCCGCGGCCUAUCAGCUUGUUGGUGGGGUAAUGGCCUACCAAGGCGACGACGGGUAGCCGACCUGAGAGGGUGACCGGCCACACUGGGACUGAGACACGGCCCAGACUCCUACGGGAGGCAGCAGUGGGGAAUAUUGCACAAUGGGCGAAAGCCUGAUGCAGCGACGCCGCGUGAGGGAUGACGGCCUUCGGGUUGUAAACCUCUUUCAGCAGGGACGAAGCGCAAGUGACGGUACCUGCAGAAGAAGCACCGGCUAACUACGUGCCAGCAGCCGCGGUAAUACGUAGGGUGCAAGCGUUGUCCGGAAUUACUGGGCGUAAAGAGUUCGUAGGCGGUUUGUCGCGUCGUUUGUGAAAACCAGCAGCUCAACUGCUGGCUUGCAGGCGAUACGGGCAGACUUGAGUACUGCAGGGGAGACUGGAAUUCCUGGU